GACGAACCGUGCGAACGUUAUUCGGAUUCACUGGGCUUAAAGGGCGCGUAGGCGGUCGACCCAGUCCGGGGUGAAAUCUUUCGGCUCAACCGGAAAAGGGCCUCGGAUACUGGUCGACUCGAGGGAGGUAGGGGCAUGUGGAACUUCCGGUGGAGCGGUGAAAUGCGUUGAUAUCGGAAGGAACGCCGGUGGCGAAAGCGGCACACUGGAUCUCUACUGACGCUGAGGCGCGAAAGCCAGGGGAGCAAACGGG
rnacentral:rRNA from 1 species